rnacentral:rRNA from 1 species
ACUCCUACGGGAGGCAGCAGUGGGAAUAUUGCACAAUGGGAAGCCAUCGAUGCAGCCAUGCCGCGCUGUGUGAAGAAGGCCAAUUCGGGCUUGGUUAAAGACACUUUUCAGCGAGGAGGAAAAGGGUGUGUGCUAAUACCAUACAUCUGUGACGUUACUCGCAGAAGAAGCACCGGCUAACUCCGUGCCAGCAGCCGCGGUAAUACGGAGGGUGCGAGCGUUAAUCGGAAUUACUGGGCGUAAAGCGUGCGCAGGCGGUUUGUU